rfam:Anopheles sinensis unplaced genomic scaffold AS2_scf7180000691143, whole genome shotgun sequence.
GGUAAUAUUGGUUCUGUAACGGGGUGGAUCCGACGCCUCUCGAAGGCUACUAUAGGCUCUCCUACCCAACUCCUACUCAAUACGUCCGCGAAGUACAGAACGGUAACUUGUCGCCUAAAUAUCCAAGCUUGGGUACACGGGGAAACCCACCCCCUUGGGCUACUCGCUAGCAGUUCAUCCUCGAGCGUC